rnacentral:rRNA from 1 species
CCUACGGGGCGCAGCAGUGAGGAAUAUUGGUCAAUGGGCGCGAGCCUGAACCAGCCAAGUAGCGUGAAGGAUGACUGCCCUACGGGUUGUAAACUUCUUUUAUAAAGGAAUAAAGUGAGGCACGUGUGCCUUUUUGUAUGUACUUUAUGAAUAAGGAUCGGCUAACUCCGUGCCAGCAGCCGCGGUAAUACGUAGGAUCCGAGCGUUGUCCGGAUUUAUUGGGUUUAAAGGGAGCGUAGAUGGGUUGUUAAGUCAGUUGUGAAAGUUUGCGGCUCAACCGUAAAAUUGCAAUUGAUACUGGCAGCCUUGAGUACAGUUGAGGUAGGCGGAAUUCGUGGUGUAGCGGUGAAAUGCUUAGAUAUCACGAAGAACCCCGAUUGCGAAGGCAGCUUACUAAACUGUGACUGACAUUGAUGCUCGAAAGUGUGGGUAUCAAACAGGAUUAGAUACCCUUGUAGUC